rnacentral:lncRNA from 1 species
UUUUUGGGGGGUGUCCUGAGCAAUAGGGGGGUGUAUAUAGAACUACCCCGGGUAGGCCUAGUCCCACGAAUAAUUUUACGAAUUUACCCAUGCGAGGGGCCUUUAGCACUUUUUCUUCCCAACCUUUGCCCUCUUAUUUGUAUUAUUUUAUUAUUUUCGAAUUGCUUGGGUGCCUAUUGUGAGGUUAACACUUGCCAAUUCUUCUGGAACCAUGUAUCCAUUGCAUAGCCAGCUUGUCGGAUGGUUGGUCAAGCUAUGGGGCAAGUUCUUUUUACUUCAUUUGGAUGUGAAAGGGUUGAGUGGAAACGUCACAUAGCUUGCUCACGCUAUGGAUUUUGGAGUUAUUUGCAUCAAUACAGAGUAAUGAGUGCAAGCUAAGCUAAAUUGAAACCUUCCACAUGAGGAGGUGGGCACUUUUAGCAAAAACGUGACACUUCAUGGAUUAUAUGAUUUAUAUCACAAAUCCGGCAUUAACAGAGGAUACCAAGUCAUUGUUUAUCAAAUCUUGAUUUUGGAUUAAGAAGAACAAAUGAGGAUGCCCGAUCAAGGAAAUUCAUUCAAUAAGGACCCAAAAGGAAAAAUCUCAAAAACUUUUGCACGCACGGAUUUAAGAACUGAUGUGCAAUUCACGACUGGCAUUUCCAGUCAAGUAAAAGACAGGCACAUAAAGCCCCACUUGACACAAUCUUCAAC